UGGUCUAGCGGUUAGAACGCUGGGUUUGUAAUCCUGGGGUCUCGGGUUCGAUUCCCGG
rnacentral:tRNA from 1 species